rnacentral:rRNA from 1 species
UACGUAGGGUGCAAGCGUUAAUCGGAAUUACUGGGCGUAAAGCGUGCGCAGGCGGUUAUGCAAGACAGAUGUGAAAUCCCCGGGCUCAACCUGGGAACUGCAUUGUGACUGCAUACUAGAGUACGGCAGAGGGGAUGGAAUUCCGCGUGUAGCAGUGAAAUGCGUAGAUAUGCGGAGGAACACCGAUGGCGAAGGCAAUCCCCUGGGCCUGUACUGACGCUCAUGCACGAAAGCGUGGGGAGCAAACAGG